AUAAAUGGGAGCCCGUGCCGCCGCCUCAGAGUAAGGGGAGAGAUAGUGAGGGUGACUCGCUUGCGGAAUUAGGGUUUCGAUCUAGAUUCCUAGUACUCCAUCUCUGCGCCACUCUCUCUUCGACUAGGUAGGGUUUCGAAGAAAUGCCGGAGGAACUCUAGUUUCUGUUUUUUCUCCAUUCGUUGUAGAAAAUAUCGGAUUCUUGGGUUUUUAGCGACUCUUGGAGGUCUCUGAUUCUUGGUUUUCUUUUUGUAUUCGUGGAUCCGUACUCUUGAUGUAACGGGUGCGGUGUCGGUAUCCUUAAACGUAGGUAGAUGGUGAAGAAAGCAGAUCAUGUGCUGUGGUAAUGCUUCGGAUCACGAUGGCAAGGAAAGACAGGAUCUUGAGGUUGGGAGAACCGCUACCAUUACAAAGUGUGAAGAAAAGAACAAAAAAAACAGAGUAAGGAAUGCUGAAGGUCAAUAAAAUGGAUGAGCUCCUUCCAGUCAGGGCAGUGAAAACAAGAAACUCUAUGACUAAUGUAUCAUCCCCAGCACCCCUUUUCCUCUGAUCUUUGUUUUUGUAAUCAGCUGCCUCGCUACCAGAAAGCUGCCGCUGAAACUUGUUUUGUCCAAUAAACUUUUGAACCAUUGGAUGGCCAGGCCCAUUUUCAAACCAUUCAAUUGCUAUUUCCAAAGAAAAACCAUGGAGAAGAAGUUGCGGAAAGUUGUGAUGUCUAUGUAGUGAACCUUAGGAAUUCCAAGAGAUCCCCAAAAUCAUCAAUUGUCAGGAUGCAGAGUCAAGUAGCUGAAUCGGGAAAUAGUUUCUUCUAAUUUUUUCCCAAACCUUACCAAAUUCAGCCAUUUCAGUGAAAUUGCAGAGCACAGAUCAUUCUUGAAAGGACAUGAUUGCUUCAGUUGCAAUUGAGGAAAUAGAUUUAUGUUUGUUGAGGAACAGUCUAGCAUUCCUUUCUUUCCAACGUGACCAUACCACACUUACCAAUAGCAUGAGAAUGAUACGCCUUGUUUACCUAGGAAAGUUCCGCUCAAUCCGAUCCGUGCAGAGAUGGUGAAAAGUUGACUGUGGAUGAAGGAUGUUUAAUUGGGAACAAAGAUGCUUCCAAAUUGUAUUGAAUAUUUGACAAGUGGAGAACACAGUCGAUUGCUUCUGGUGCUUGCCCACAGGUCACACAGGGUCUAAGGUAUGUGCCAAGUUUUCUCGUGUUGGGCUUUUUCCGCCAAGCAAGCCAGAGAAAACAUUUGAUCUUCUGUGGUAUACACAGACUCCAGAGUGUAGGUGGAAAACUACGACAACUACGACUUACUCCUUGAAGGUUCAUGAAUUUAUAGAGUGAUGAAGAGAAGAACUCAUCAUUAUUCGUAACUCUCCAAACAAAGCGAUCCAUCCUCAGAUGGACUAAGAAAGAUUCUAGAAGGGAGACAAUUUUGGUCGGUAUAUUGAACCGUAGUGGGAGCUGGUGGAGUUUGGUGGUGGCGUGAUGGACCAAGUUUAAGUUCUAUGAUUGAAGAAAUGGACAACCAAACCAUUCUUCUUGCGACUGAGAGAGUAUAGCCUAAGGAAGAUAAUUUUGACCAGAGCAUCACAAAUCCAAGGAUCUUUUCAAAAUAAAAUGUGUUUUCCAUUUUCAA